rnacentral:rRNA from 1 species
CCCAGACUCCUACGGGAGGCAGCAGUGGGGAAUAUUGCACAAUGGGGGGAACCCUGAUGCAGCGACGCCGCGUGAGUGAAGAAGUAAUUCGUUAUGUAAAGCUCUAUCAGCAGGGAAGAAAAUGACGGUACCUGAAGAAGAAGCCCCGGCUAACUACGUGCCAGCAGCCGCGGUAAUACGUAGGGGGCAAGCGUUAUCCGGAUUUACUGGGUGUAAAGGGGGCGCAGACGGCGAUGCAAGCCAGGAGUGAAAGCCCGGGGCCCAACCCCGGGACUGCUCUUGGAACUGCGUGGCUGGAGUGCAGGAGGGGCAGGCGGAAUUCCUGGUGUAGCGGUGAAAUGCGUAGAUAUCAGGAGGAACACCGGUGGCGAAGGCGGCCUGCUGGACUGCAACUGACGUUGAGGCCCGAAAGCGUGGGGAGCAAACAGGAUUAGAUACCCGAGUA